GUCUCUGUGGCGCAAUCGGUUAGUGUGUUCGGCUAAUAAACCAAAAGGUUGGUGGUUCAAUCCCACCCAGGGACG